rnacentral:rRNA from 1 species
AGUCGACGAGAUCUGUGGAAGAGGAUUCGUCCAAUUGAAGCAGAGGACAGUGGCGGACGGGUGAGUAACGCGUGAGGAACCUGCCUUUCAGAGGGGGACAACAGUUGGAAACGACUGCUAAUACCGCAUGACACAUCGGAGUCGCAUGGCUCUGAUGUCAAAGAUUUAUCGCUGAAAGAUGGCCUCGCGUCUGAUUAGCUAGUUGGUGAGGUAACGGCCCACCAAGGCGACGAUCAGUAGCCGGACUGAGAGGUUGAACGGCCACAUUGGGACUGAGAUACGGCCCAGACUCCUACGGGAGGCAGCAGUGGGGAAUAUUGGGCAAUGGGCGCAAGCCUGACCCAGCAACGCCGCGUGAAGGAAGAAGGCUUUCGGGUUGUAAACUUCUUUUGUCAGGGACGAGUAGAAGACGGUACCUGACGAAUAAGCCACGGCUAACUACGUGCCAGCAGCCGCGGUAAUACGUAGGUGGCAAGCGUUGUCCGGAUUUACUGGGUGUAAAGGGCGUGUAGCCGGGAGGGCAAGUCAGAUGUGAAAUCCACGGGCUCAACUCGUGAACUGCAUUUGAAACUACUCUUC